ACUAAGGAGAAACUUUAAAAAGCUGUUUGUGGUGAAACAUUUGAACCUAAACUGAAAACAAAUAAUUUCUAACUCAUAAAAGGUCCAUUUUGACCAAAAGGAACUAAAAGUGCUCAACCUUUAUCACAGCACGUCUCAUUCUGUGUAGAACUGUUGAUUUUCUGUCCAGAAGAUUCCUGUUGGCAGCAGGCGGCCUGUCUUUGGAAGACAACAAGGAUCAUCGACCUGAAGAACCGAAUGAAGCGUCUGAAAGUGUAGCAGCAAACGCCACGCUAGCAAGAUCAACAACACGACUGUUUCCUGUUGAUUAUAGAUCAGAUGUACUUCGUUACAAAUGUUUACCUCUAGUUUGGUUUAUAGAAAAUAUAAACUACUGACAGAGUAAAGCAGCUGUAAUUGGAAUUCACCUCAAUAUCUGCUUUAAAAAUCCCUCCCACUUCUCA